GCUAUUUCAGUAAACCAUUUGAUGUGCUAAAGAAUAAUAUGUAGAGAAGUCAUAUGUCUGAUGGGAAAAAAAUAGGCCAAUGAAGUGACUGAGCCAAAUUAAUAAUACCAUGUGGUUUUUCUUUUUAAGGCCAAUGAAGACUGCAAUGCUUCGUCUGCUCAAACCACAACCUCGGGGGAACCAGGAACUGAUUUUAGGCAGCCGAUGGUCGUGGACCAGGAAAGAACUCAUUUUCCAUUUCUCUAGCUCUGAAUUCAGGGUUCCAAAUCAAGGACUGCCCUCUUGUCCAUCGCAUGACGCGUCCAUUAUAGAUGCAAGUGGGGCAACAUUAGGUAAAAUUGUUAGUUCAUUUUUUGACCAAAUAGGGUAGAGAGUACCCUAAUCUUGACCCACUU